rnacentral:tRNA from 1 species
AUUUAAAUAGUUUAAUAAAACAUUGAUUUGUGAAAUCAUUAAUAUAUAAAAUACUAUUUUAUAUU